rnacentral:rRNA from 1 species
UACGUAUGGUGCAAGCGUUAUCCGGAUUUACUGGGUGUAAAGGGAGCGUAGACGGAGUGGCAAGUCUGAUGUGAAAACCCGGGGCUCAACCCCGGGACUGCAUUGGAAACUGUCAAUCUAGAGUACCGGAGAGGUAAGCGGAAUUCCUGGUGUAGCGGUGAAAUGCGUAGAUAUUAGGAGGAACACCAGUGGCGAAGGCGGCUUACUGGACGGUAACUGACGUUGAGGCUCGAAAGCGUGGGGAGCAAACAGG